AGAGUUUGAUCUGGCUCAGAGCGAACGCUGGCGGAAUGCUUAACACAUGCAAGUCGUACGGGCAGCUUCGGCUGUCAGUGGCGGACGGGUGAGUAACGCGUAGGAACGUGUCCUGUGGUGGGGGAUAACGCUGGGAAACUGGCGCUAAUACCGCAUAUGGCCUGAGGGUCAAAGCCGUGAGGCGUCAUGGGAGCGGCCUGCGUCCGAUUAGGUAGUUGGUGGGGUAAAGGCCUACCAAGCCUGCGAUCGGUAGCUGGUCUGAGAGGAUGAUCAGCCACACUGGGACUGAGACACGGCCCAGACUCCUACGGGAGGCAGCAGUGGGGAAUAUUGGACAAUGGGCGAAAGCCUGAUCCAGCAAUUCCGCGUGGGUGAAGAAGGUCUUCGGAUUGUAAAGCCCUUUCGGCAGGGACGAUGAAGACGGUACCUGCAGAAGAAGCCCCG
rnacentral:rRNA from 1 species